GACGAACGCUGGCGGCGUGCUUAACACAUGCAAGUCGAGCGGAAAGGCUCCUUCGGGGGUACUCGAGCGGCGAACGGGUGAGUAACACGUGAGUAAUCUGCCCUGUGCUCUGGGAUAACCACCGGAAACGGUGAUUAAUACCGGAUACAACCACUAUAGGCAUCUGUUGGUGGUGGAAAGUUUUUUCGGCAUGGGAUGUGCUCGCGGCCUAUCAGCUUGUUGGUGAGGUAAUGGCUCACCAAGGCUUUGACGGGUAGCCGGCCUGAGAGGGUGACCGGUCACACUGGGACUGAGACACGGCCCAGACUCCUACGGGAGGCAGCAGUGGGGAAUAUUGGACAAUGGGCGGAAGCCUGAUCCAGCAACGCCGCGUGAGGGAUGACGGCCUUCGGGUUGUAAACCUCUUUCAGUACCGACGAAGCGAAAGUGACGGUAGGUACAGAAGAAGGACCGGCCAACUACGUGCCAGCAGCCGCAGUAAAAC
rnacentral:rRNA from 1 species